UUUUGAGACAACACACUUCUUUAUAAUCCCAUAUGAAUUACAUUACUAUGGAAUGUAAGGAAGUGUGUGGUUUCAGAAG
ensembl:miRNA MIR206 microRNA 206